AUAAUAUCACUGAUUUUCUUGGUGGUUGGAUGGUUUUUUGGGUGUUUGGUGGUGAAAGACCCACCCCCCAAGCUGUAGUCCCAGAGAGAUUACUCUGAAGUCCAAUGACUGUUUUGCCAGACAAGCUGGGCAGUGGGACGUCAGAGCUAUAUCAAAAAGUAGAAAUUUGCUUGUCCAAAAGGAAUACAUCACACUUCGUUGCUUUUCUAGUCAACUGACGGCUUCUGAUCUAUAUAAAUCGGGCUUCAAUUUGUUCAUUUCUUUAUUCAUUUAUUUAAGUUUCGCAUACCUACCUACCUUUAUUUUCUUUAUUACAGCUGUUAGACAUCAAGAGUAAUCUCGGACUUCGUUAGCUGAAACCAAAUAACAUAAAUAAUGAAGAAGAUUACAUGUUUGUGAAUUUGAGAAGGAAUUGCAGUCUACAUCGACUUCUGGAUCUUUACCACCACCAUGGCCAUAAUCAUCGUCAUCAUCAGAAUGAUAGUGAAGAAGAGCUUUUAGAUCAUAAGAAAGUUUUGUACACGGUGUAACAUCGAAGCUUAUUUUAUGGUUGAGAAAAGUGUUGAGAAUAUAACCACAGUUGCUGUUGGUCCUGAUUUUCUUCUGUUAUACAGGCAUAAUUUUCUUCAUGCAAGCUCUGAUAGUUGAAAUUAUUGACUUCAUGUGUUCAAUGGUAUAACUACUGUCUCAACUCUGAUCUUACCUUUUUCCUGAAAACAGUUUAGUUGAUGGCUAACGCAGGGACAAUCAUACAGGACAAAGUUCUGGAUAUUGUUUAGACCUAUAUCCAAGACUUAGAUACCAACAGCCACACUUAUCAGCAAGCAAAUAAUGGACUAUAGAAAAAUAAAAGACCCGUUGUCAUAUAUGACCACUGAAACUUUUAUGCAGCAUUGUUCUUUGUAUCUAUAACAAUAGAAUUAAUUAAAGAUUAGACAUACAUUUUUCAUACUGUGCUUGCAUUUUAAUUUAAUAAAAAUAAUUCUAGAAAUUGGAAUAGCUCCUCAAUUGUUUUUGUUCUUAUUCAUCCUUGACUUUCAAAUAUUUGACUUUGAGGGUUCCAGAUGAAGGAAAAUCCAGAAAAGCACUUUGGACGAAUGAAAUUUAUAACCUUUUGUUUAAAUUUUUUUUUUAAAGUACAUUUGUAGCAAUUUUUUAUGUAACUGUUUUCUUUAAAUUACAUGUUUAUGGCCCGAUCAACCCCUUUGAAGAUCGUCAAUCUUUUGAUCAUUUGAUCUCGGUUAAUUAGUGCAAUCACUUCUGAUUACAAGUGUGCAACAAUUAAGAUGUUUCCUUUGCAAUUUCCUUCAACCAGACAAUUUGUAAGCACAGAUGAAUCAACUUAUUUUUAAAGCAAUUAUUUUUAUUAAAAAAAUGAUGAAUGUUGGCUUUGAUAAUAGACAAAUAAGUGAGUGAUAAUGGACAUUUUUUUUUAUAUAUAAUGUACCACGAAUCAUUUUAAAAUAGCGAAAUUAUGAUUAUUUUCAAGAAUCUUUUUUUCUAUAUGACAACAAGUUCUUCACACAUUUUUUUCCCCAGAAAACUAAAGUCCAUGCAUUUAAGAACAAGUAACUUUUGCUUACACCAUAUUUUUGAUACCCAUGAAUGAAAUAGCUUCUUCAGUGUAUGAUGUAAUCUCUCUGUUUUUGACUCAUAAUUAUCAUGAAAAGGACUAAUGUGGUGACCUUAUUAUGUAGGUCAAAUUGAAGACAGAUUUACCAGUGUUUUGUAAGAAUUAGAUCACAGAAUUUUUACAAACAUAGAUAUUUAUAUACAGAGUCCUGUAUAUGUUUAUUUGGAAAUCAAAAGUUUUAUUUCUUGACAUUUAUAUACAUGCAAAUGUAAUAUCUGCAAAUAGCUUUUAAAUUAAAAUCUGAAGAAGAGAUUUACUCUUCAGUUUAAAUUUAUUCCUAAACUGUCUUGUUGGCACCUUUGGAAUAUUUGUUUGUGGUCAGAUAUUAAUGCAUUGUGAAAAUUAUUUUUUUAUGUAUAUUAAAAAUAAAGAUCAUAAAAACAA